CAGAGGGUGCGAGCGUUAAUCGGAAUUACUGGGCGUAAAGCGUGCGUAGACGGUUAUUUAAGUCGGGUGUGAAAGCCCCGGGCUCAACCUGGGAAUUGCAUUCGAGACUGAAUAGCUAGGGUACGGUAGAGGGAAGUGGAAUUUCCGGUGUAGCGGUGAAAUGCGUAGAUAUCGGAAGGAACAUCAGUGGCGAAAGCGACUUCCUGGACCAGUACCGACGUUCAGGCACGAAAGCGUGGGGAGCAAACAGGAUUAGAUACCCUGGUAGUCCACGCCAUAAACGAUGAGGACUAGACGUUGGAAGGGUAAGCCUUUCAGUGUCGUAGCUAACGCGCUAAGUCCUCCGCCUGGGGAGUACGGCCGCAAGGUUG
rnacentral:rRNA from 1 species